rnacentral:misc_RNA from 1 species
CCCCUAGUGCAUCGUUACAUUACAUCCACCUGCCUGCUAUCCUCCUACAGCUAAGCGAAGAAGCUAACACCCUGCCCUGUCCAUCAUCGCCCACGAAUCUCCUGCAGACUCCUCAAUUGUAUCCCUUCAUCUCCAGCAACGCAUGAGAAUACCUCUAUGCCCUGUCCAUCGCCGGCAUGCUUGAGCAGCAGACACAGACAGCUUCAGGUGAAGUGCCUGCUGCCGUCCUUCCCAGCCUCAACACUCCGAGGGCGUCACGUCAGCUCCUGUUGUGAAUCGGGUCCGAGCCCCGCCGGACCUUCCACUUGCUCGUCUGCGCCGCGCCAACGGCCGUCGCCGUGACGAGCCGCUUCCCUGUCCAAGAGCUGCCGCCGCCGCCGCCGCCUGCCGCGGGUGCCUCUGCUGGCGUCGGCGCCCGAUCACGGCCGAGGACCACGUCCUCUCUCCUCAGGCCGCUCACCACGGCAGCAGGGUGUGCCGCCAGGAGGCAGACAAAGGCCGAUAUGGCGAACAGCCUUGACCACCUUCUUGCGCUCGCCAUGCUGCUGCUGCUGCUGCCGCCGCUCAGCUGGAGACAUGCAGCUUGUGCUGCCUGCUGCUGUGCUUUGGCUCUAGCGGCUUGGUUGAUGCAGUACAAUCAUCAGUCACAGCACUGUCCUGUCUGUAGAUAUAGCACAACAACCCCAAGGCCACGCCGGGUCCCAAAGCACAACAAAGGGGCAAGGGACGGCACGACAUGUCUAAGGCUGCUCAUAGAAGGUUCUGAGACCCUGACAGGUACAUUUUGCAAAAGCCAUUGGAGGACUGGAUGGCCAUGUAGGGCACAACCAGAGCACCAGCAAAGAACCAACCAAGCCCUUGCUUUAGACCUCUGUUUGU